rnacentral:rRNA from 1 species
GACGAACGCUGGCGGCGUGCUUAACACAUGCGAGUCGAACGGAAAGGCCCUGCUUUUGUGGGGUGCUCGAGUGGCGAACGGGUGAGUAACACGUGAGUAACCUGCCCUUGACUUUGGGAUAACUUCAGGAAACUGGGGCUAAUACCGGAUAGGAGCUCCUGCUGCAUGGUGGGGGUUGGAAAGUUUCGGCGGUUGGGGAUGGACUCGCGGCUUAUCAGCUUGGUGGUGGGGUAGUGGCUUACCAAGGCUUUGACGGGUAGCCGGCCUGAGAGGGUGACCGGCCACAUUGGGACUGAGGUACGGCCCAGACUCCUACGGGAGGCAGCAGUGGGGAAUAUUGCACAAUGGGCGGAAGCCUGAUGCAGCAACGCCGCGUGCGGGAUGACGGCCUUCGGGUUGUAAACCGCUUUCGCCUGUGACGAAGCGUGAGUGACGGUAAUGGGUAAAGAAGCACCGGCUAACUACGUG